rnacentral:ncRNA from 1 species
CACUCCUUGUGGACAAUAUGCACUCUUUGCAUAAAACGCUCCAAGUUAUCUCCCUUGGACUUGUUCCUCCUCAACACUCUGAACUUCUCAAGAUGAUUCCUUCGAUAAUUAACUAGGUAUUGACCUGGCACACUCCUUGAGACAAAAUUCCUUCAAAUUGACUCCUAAAGGACAAUUUUGCAUCCCUUGCAACAGUUCUCAAAGGAUCUUGGGUCGUAAAGGUCAGUCCGCCUACAUGGUGUGCACCUGCCCUUCUGCCCCUUUAGUCGGUGGCGUGCUCCUGGCCUUAAUUGGUUGGGUCGCAGUUCCGAUGUUGUUACUUUGAAAAAAAUAGAGUGCUCAAAGAAAGCUUAUGCUCUGAGUACAUUAGCAUGCAAUAAAGUGAUAGGAGUCUGGUCCUAUUGUGUUAUACUUCAGGACCAGAGUAAUGAUUAAUAGGGACUACUAGGGGCAUUUGUAUUUCAUUGUCAGAGGUUAAAUUCUUGGAUUUAUGAAAGAUGAACCACUGCGAAAGCAUUUGCCAAUGAUGUUUCCAUUAAUCAAGAACGAAAGUUGGGGGCUCGAAGACGAUCAUAUACCAUCCUAGUCUCAACCAUAAACGAUGCCAACUAGGGAUCAAUGGAUGUUGCUCUAAGGACUUCACCAACACCUUAUGAGAAAUCAGAGUGUUUGGGUUCCAGGGGGAGUAUGGUCGCAAGGAUGAAACUUAAAGGAAUUGACGGAAAGGCACCACUAGGAGUGGAUCCUGUAGCUUAAUUUGACUCAACAAGGGAAAAAUUCCCAGGUCCAGACAUAGUAAGGAUUGACAGAUUGAGAUCUCUUUCUUGAUUCUAUGGGUGGUGGUGGAUGGUUGCUCUUAGUUGGUGGAGUGAUUUUUCUGGUUAAUU